rnacentral:rRNA from 1 species
CCUACGGGUGGCAGCAGUGAGGAAUAUUGGUCAAUGGGCGAGAGCCUGAACCAGCCAAGCCGCGUGAGGGAAGACGGCCCUAUGGGUUGUAAACCUCUUUUGUCGGAGCACAAAACCCGGCACGAGUCCCUGACUGCGUGUAUCCGAAGAAAAAGCAUCGGCUAACUCCGUGCCGGCAGCCGCGGUAAUACGGGGGAUGCGAGCGUUGUCCGGUUUUUUUGGGUUAAACGGGUGCGCGGGGGGUCGGUAAAGUCAGUGGUCAAAUCGCGGGGUUAAACCCCGGCCCGCAGUUGAAACUGGAAGUCUUGAGUGGGGGAGAGGUAUGCGGAAUGCGUGGUGUAGCGGUGAAAUGCAUAGAUA